rnacentral:tRNA from 1 species
GGAAGAGUGGUGUAGAAGGUCUGCGUGUUAGUCUGAAAAACUGAAGGUACAGGUUCAAUUCCUGUCUGUUCCACAA